UACGUAGGGACCGAGCGUUGUCCGGAAUCAUUGGGCGUAAAGAGCGUGUAGGCGACCACUUAAGUCCUGCGUGAAAUCCUGCGGCUCAACCGCAGGCGGUCGUGGGAAACUGGGUGGCUAGAGUGCGGGAGAGGAGAGUGGAAUUCCUGGUGUAGCGGUGGAAUGCGCAGAUAUCAGGAAGAACACCCGUGGCGAAGGCGGCUCUCUGGAACGCAACUGACGCUGAGACGCGAAAGCGUGGGGAGCAAACAGG
rnacentral:rRNA from 1 species